rnacentral:rRNA from 1 species
CCUACGGGCGGCAGCAGUGGGGAAUAUUGCACAAUGGGGGAAACCCUGAUCCAGCGACGCCGCGUGAGUGAUGAAGUAUUUCGGUAUGUAAAGCUCUAUUAGCAGGGAAGAAAAUGACGGUACCUGACUAAGAAGCCCCGGCUAAAUACGUGCCAGCAGCCGCGGUAAGAUGCAGGGGGCAAGCGUUAUCCGGAGUUACUGGGUGUAAAGGGAGCGUAGACGGCCAGACAAGUCAGAAGUGAAAGCCCAGGGCUCAACCCUGGGACUGCUGUUGAAACUGGAGGGUUGGAGUGCAGGAGAGGUAGGCGGAAUGCCUAGUGUAGCGGUGAAAUGCGUAGAUAUUAGGAAGAACACCGGUGGCGAAGGCGGCUUACUGGACUGUGACUGACGUUGAGGCUCGAAAGCGUGGGGAGCAAACAGGAUUAGAUACCCCAGUAGUC